rnacentral:rRNA from 1 species
GAAGCAGGGGGGACCACCCUCCAAGGCAAAACACAGAUAUCGACCGAUAGCGCAUAGUACCAUGAGGGAAAGGUGAAAAGCACCCCGGGAGGGGAAUGAAAGAGAACCUGAAACCGUAUGUUUACAAGCAGUCGGAGACCGCUUAAUAAUAAGGUCGACGGCGUGCCUAUUGAAGAAUGAACCGGCGAGUUACGAAGCCUGGCAAGGUUAAGCAGGAAAUGCGGAGCCGAAGCGAAAGCGAGUCUUAAGAGGGCGCAAGUCAGGAAGCGUAGACCCGAAACCACAGUGAUCUACCCAUGUCCAGGUUGAAACACAGGUAAAAAUGUGUGGAGGACCGAACCUAUAUCCGUUGAAAAGGGUUAGGAUGAGGUGUGGGUAGGGGUGAAAUUCCAAUCGAACGUGGAGAUAGCUGGUUCUCCCCGAAAUAGCUUUAGGGCUAGCCUCAGGGAAAAGAUUGCAGGCGGUAGAGCACUGAUCAGGAGAGGGACCUACCCGGUUACCAAACCCAGUCAAACUCCGAAUGGCUGCAAUCAUACCUGGGAGUCAGACUGCGACUAAUAAGGGCCGCAGUCAAAAGGGAAACAGCCCAGACCAUCAGCUAAGGUCCCCAAUGCCGUGCUAAGUGGCGAAGGAUGUGGCAUUUCAUAAACAACCAGGAUGUUGGCUCAGAAGCAGCCACCAUUUAAAGAGUGCGUAAUAGCUCACUGGUCGAGAGACGCUGCGCCGAAAAUGUCCGGGGCUCAAGCACGGAACCGAAGCUAUGGCAUGAUAGCAAUAUCAUGGGUAGGGGAGCGUUCUUAUAAGGAAGAAGCAUGACCGGAAGGACAUGUGGACGAAUAAGAAGUGAGAAUGCCGGUAUGAGUAUCGAAAAGAAAGGUGAGAAUCCUUUCCACCGAAAGCCCGAGGGUUCCUGAGCAACGAUCGUCGACUCAGGGUAAGUCGGGACCUAAGCCGAGGCGAGAAGCGUAGGCGAUGGACAACAGGUUGAAAUUCCUGUACCGGAUCAAGUCGAUCGAGCGAAGGAGCGACGCAGGAGGGCACAUGAUCGCGCGGCUGGAAGAGCGCGUCCAAGUGCGUAUGCUGCUGCAGAGGAAAACCCCUGCAGCUAAAAGCAGAGACAUGAUGGGGAGUUAAAGGAAACUUUGACGAACUCAUGGAUCCCACACUGCCAAGAAAAACUUCUAGCGAGACAAGAUCCGCCCGUACCGUAAACCGACACAGGUAGGCGGGGAGAGAAUCCUAAGGUGCGCGGGAAAACCCUCGUUAAGGAACUCGGCAAAUUGCAUCCGUAACCUAGGGAGAAGGAUGGCCCCCGGUCAGUGAAGAGCAGAAACGCUCAGAGCUAAAAGGGGCGGCAGAAAAGAGGCCCAAGCAACUGUUUACCAAAAACACAGGUGCCUGCGAAAGCGAAAGCUGAAGUAUAGGUGCUGACGCCUGCCCGGUGCCGGAAGGUUAAGGAGAGAAGUUAGCGAAAGCGAAGCAUCGAACUGAAGCCCCGGUGAACGGCGGCCGUAACUAUAACGGUCCUAAGGUAGCGAAAUUCCUUGUCGGGUAAGUUCCGACCCGCACGAAAGGCGUAACGAUUUGGGCACUGUCUCAACGAGGGACCCGGUGAAAUUGAAAUACCUGUGAAGAUGCAGGUUACCCGCGACUGGACAGAAAGACCCCAUGGAGCUUCACUGCAGCUUGAGAUUGAAUCCCGGUGACAGAUGCACAGGAUAGGUGGGAGGCGCCGAAGCAUUGCCCUAGGGCGGUGCGGAGCCGAUGUUGGGAUACCACCCUUCUGUUGCUGAGAUUCUAACGCGAGGAGUAACGACCCUGCGGACCCUCUCAGGCAGGCGGUUUGACUGGGGCGGUCGCCUCCGAAAGAGUAACGGAGGCGCCCAAAGGUUCCCUCAGGCCGGACAGAAACCGGCCGAAGAGUGCAAAGGCAGAAGGGAGCUUGACUGCGAGACCAACAAGUCGAGCAGAGACGAAAGUCGGGCUUAGUGAUCCGGUGGUACUGGGUGGAAAGGCCAUCGCUCAACGGAUAAAAGCUACCCUGGGGAUAACAGGCUAAUCUCUCCCAAGAGUCCAUAUCGACGGGGAGGUUUGGCACCUCGAUGUCGGCUCAUCACAUCCUGGGGCUGAAGUAGGUCCCAAGGGUUGGGCUGUUCGCCCAUUAAAGUGGUACGCGAGCUGGGUUCAAAACGUCGUGAGACAGUUUGGUUCAUAUCCAUCGCGGGCG